AAAAGGAGUGAAUAAUUAAAGCUCUGGCUAAUUUGCAGUGGCGAGACGCUUAUGCUUCAAAGUGGACGGUAAAAGAUGCGCUGUUACCUCAAGUAAACUCACUGACGCCAUUCCACUGUAAGUGAACUGCAAAGGCCCAUCGACCAAAGGAAAAAAGAAAAACGAACUGCAAAGGAACUCUUUUCCACCAUUUUCCAGUAGGGUUUUUGGUCGCAGUUGAAUUCAAAGACUACCAUUUAUCAGCUUCUCAUAUCCGGGAAGAGAAGAUAUGGUUGCAGAGAACUAUAGUGCGUAUAUUUCCUCUUUUUGCUCGUAAAUUUCACAUGAGGAUUUAGAGGGUUAUAUGAAAUUGGUGGGGGGAAAAUUUGUUCCCUUUAUUUUAUGUUGUUUACUUCUUUGUAACAUCUCUACUGCUGAAGUUCCCUUGAUUUUAGGACUUUGUUAGACCAUUAGGCAGUAUAACUAUGGAUGUAUGCAAUUUCUUUUGAGUGUCUUUGGCCAGUUACCAGUAAACAAUGAGGGCAAAUUUGUUGUAUGCUAAGGAAAAAGAAUUUCACCUCCUUCAUGUUACCUAAAAUCUAUUCUAGAGAUAGCCAUAUCCCGGGAGAGACCUUGAAUAUCAACUACAAGUUGGUUGAAAUUGGAACCGAUUAGGUUGAAAGCCAUGGUGCUAAUACUUAAAGCAGUGAACCAAAUAUCUCUAAAUACUACAGGCCAAGCAGCUAGUAAGAAGUGUAAAGAGUGAGAGUUGUUGAAACUAGCAUAUUGAAAGUGAAUUUUAUUUUUCCAUUAGAGUAGGCUCUUACAUGUUCUGCAAUACUUCCUACGAAUAUUCCACUAAUAUGAAAUGUUUUUAAUGUUAGUUGAGUACCUCCCUCUCCGAUGGAUUGACUUGCAAUCAUACCUACGGCUUUCCUCAAUUCCACUAGAUCGCCAUGCGCCUAAGUUUACAUAUAGUAAUGUCUAUAUCUUACCAAAAACAAGUCAUUUAUGAUAUUAUCUGGAAAUUCGUGCAGAUCCAGUGUAGUUCCUUUUUCACUCCAUAAAAAUCAAGAUCAAAUGAAUGUUCAUUCUCUUUCUAUCAAAAGAAGAUACAUCUCUAGUCCUUUUGUAAAUAAUGAUCUUAGUUCGCAUUUCUUGCAUGAGUUUAUAUACCUAUUAUUUAUGAUAAGAAGUUUGUAUGUGUGGUGGCCAACCUUGCGAUGUCCACUCCAAGCAGGUUAUAAACUAGGAGAGAAUCUAACUGAUGGACAAGGAGUUCUGUAUGCCUUACAUGAUAACAGCUUAGUCUUUUGUCUUCGUCUUCCUUCCUUUCUCCCAGUUCUCUAUUACUUGCUUACUUGCUUACUAGCUUAUGGGUGGUAAGAUAUAUAGCUUCAAGGCAUUUUUUCUUCUUCUUUUUGGCGAAUACUCUUAUACAUUAUUUUCUAAGGAAGUUGCCAAUUCUUCUAUUUCAAUAGCCACUUCUUCUACAGGAACUGCUGCACCAUCUCUUCCGUUCAAUGCCAUGACAAUGCCUCUGUAAAAUCUCUUCCUGCGCUAGAAAGAGAAAAAAAUGGAUAAGCUACAUGCAAUUGCAAAACAAUGCACGAAAACAGCAUUUCAUUUCUGACAGAGAACGUCUGAUUGCAUAAUGCAUAAUACCUGCGGCGAAGGUAGUUUGUUGAUAAUGAAAUUGUGAUUUGUUAAUUUAAAAAUUCCAAGCCACAGAAUUGCUUACCGUGUAUGGUCAGUUGCUGAGCGCUGUUAAUUAGGUACUCUAGACACAGCGCGGAAAAUUGCCAACUGGAAGGGGAAAAAAGAGAAAAAGGAGUUCUGAUUCCAAGCAGAGGGGAGGAGUGGUCAUCUCAAUAUUUCUGGAGGCCAUUAUAUGAAAGUGGCAAUCAUAGAUUUAGAAAACCUAAAUAAGCCCAUCAGUGCCUUUAACAGUGCAUCAAAGGUUGCUUGAGUGUUGGGUUUCUACUUUAUUCUUGCUAUAUCAGUUGGUUUAGGCAUCUCUUUUUUUUUUUUUUUCCAUCAAUUACUCGAUAAAACAGGAGACCUUCCUAAACUUGUUCUAAAUAAUGGCUAUAUUAUCCGAUUUUAGACGGGAAUAAGAAAUACCAAUAAAAGUGAGAUUUAUAAUUUGUGU